AAAGCGUGCGCAGGCGGUUAUACAAGACAGGCGUGAAAUCCCCGGGCUUAACCUGGGAAUGGCGCCUGUGACUGUAUAGCUAGAGUGUGUCAGAGGGGGGUAGAAUUCCACGUGUAGCAGUGAAAUGCGUAGAUAUGUGGAGGAAUACCAAUGGCGAAGGCAGCCCCCUGGGAUAACACUGACGCUCAUGCACGAAAGCGUGGGGAGCAAACAGGAUUAGAUACCCCAGU
rnacentral:rRNA from 1 species